rnacentral:lncRNA from 1 species
AGUGAGGAAAAAUAGACAUAGGUGUUGCUCUUCUGAACUUAAGUUCUAGAGUUAGAGAAAAAUAUUAGUCAGAUAUUAAUAUGUAUAAAUGCAAAGUUGGAACUGUUUUCAUUUGCUGUAGAGAAGUACAUGGUUUUUAAUAUGAGGGCUUUUGGAAGGAUAAUUUAAUCAAUUAGUGGGACCACACCAAGGGAAGGGUUUGUUUUUUGUUUGAGAAAGUGUUUAGUUAGCUGAAAUCUUGAUGAAUUUGAGUUACGUUGAUCAAGAGGGAGAAAAAAGUUGGUGGAAGAAAGGAGGAUCUAUGUACAAGAUCCUCAUGUGGGAAGAUUUUAGUACCUAACAUUAAAUGAAAGUCAGAAUGACAGAAGCCAAGGACUAGAGAGUGCAUGGAAAGAGGUUAUGCUAAGGAUUUAUGUCAGAGCCAAAUUGCAGGAUAUUGUGGGCCAAGGUUUUUUAUCCUUAGAGUUAUUAUUUAAAUUUAAACUAAUAUUCUUUACACUCUACAAAGACUUACCACUGCAGUUGACCCUUGAGCAGCUUGGGAGUUAGUGAUGCCACUCCUACAAGCAGUCAAAAACCCAAGGAUAAUUUAUAGUUGGCCUUAUUAUCUGAGGUUCCUCUGUGUGGGAAGAUUCAACCAAUUGCAGAUCCCAUAAUACUGUAGUAUUUAUUAUUGGGGAAAAAAAAUCUGGAUUUUUUGGAUACACAUAGUUCAGACUCCUGUUGUUCAAGAGUCAGCUGUACUUGCUCCGGUGGUUGUAUUCUAAGAGUUCAUUUUUCUUUCAGUUUAAGACUUACAGUGCUUUUCCUAUGGAAUCAUUGUUGUAGAGAUCAAGUCUCCUAAAACAUUUUUAACACAGUUAACAGUGGAAGGUAGUGAAUAUUAACAUUGAGCCCUUAAGAAAACUAGGUGGAAGAUAGAAAAGAAAAACAAAAAAGGGGAUUAAAAUUGGUAUCUCUACAUACUCAAGAGAAUGUCCUGAGUGUGAUUGACUGAGUUUGAAUAAUAAGGAAAAAAGUCUGCAUGUGUAGGAGGCUAGUGUUGGAGAUCCUAGCAAAUGAUUAUCAUAUUCAGUUGGACAGCUUAAGACCCUCACUUGGUACCUGUAUGAAGCAGUGUGAUAUCCGAAGCAUACCAAGGCAGGGAAAGUAGAAGACAUCAUAUUCACAAAUUCAAUGUUCCAAAUCUAGGAAAUAUUUGUGUCAAUGUUAUUAAAACAUAAAAUUAAAAAAUAUAUUUUAAGUAGAAUUGCAAAAUGGUAAUACAAUGCCAACUGUGUUUUGGUUUUUUUAGAGUAAAAAAGUAAGAAGUUAGAAGAAUUAUAUUUUACUAAUGCUCAUAUUUAUUUGUUUGUUUUUUGGUUUAUUUUUAGCCACACCCAUGGCAUCUGGAAGUUCAUGGCCAGGGAUCAAAUCUAAGCCUCAGCUGAGGCCUACAUCACAAGCUGUGGCAAUGCCAGAUCCUUAACCCUCUGUGCUGGGCCAGGGAUUGAACUCAUGCUACCACAGAGAUGAGAUGGCAUCCUUAACCUGCUGUGGCACAGCAGGAACUCCUGAAGUAGUACUUUUAAAGACAAAGUUGAAGGAAUUUAAUUUUUAAUCUUAUUUUCCAUUUAACUUAGAACAUCGUCAAUAAGAUAGUUUCAUUUCUUGUUGAUAUUUAAAUUUUAAGCCUCUUUGAACACCAGCUUACAUCUAUAUUAGUAAACAAUCUAGUUAAUAAAGUUUAUUAAGAAUAUUAUAAAAAGAUGGAUCAGUUACUUGAAUUUUAUCAAGACCAAAAUGUCACAAAAAAAUGUGUUAAAUUGUAAGGAAAAGGUAAAAUAUAUGCAAGCAUUCACUGAAUAGUCAUCACAAUACUGUUGGUUGAGGAAUUCUGCCAGUACAUCAUCCUUUAUCAGGUGAUCUUGAACUUUAACUUUCUGGCAUUCUCAAGUAUGGCUUUUAAAGCAGAUUAACAUCUAAAAUUAAGAACUGCAGAAUUGACUUUAGUGGUUAUUUACUCAUGUAUUUGCACUUUUACUUACUUACAAAACAUUCUAAAUUAGAAAGUAUCACUACCAUUUAUUUAUUUAUUUUUGCAGUGUCUAGCAGACUACUGGUAUUCAGAGACCAUAAAUAUUUGGGAAGAUUAUUGGGGUUUGAAAACACAGUUUACUAAAUUUAUCUGAUAUCUCUAAGGGUCAUCGUACCUUUUAAACAGAAAUGAGGAAUCACUUGGAAAUUAUUCAGGGAUUGAUGUGUUCCCUCUGUUUUACAGGUUUCUACUUGUCUAUCAAAGUAUAUUCCAAAAAUCCCUAGUUCUGUGAUAAUAGGUAUGGCCAUCCUCCCCUAUCUCCCAUGAGAUUUCUUCAUUGACGUUUUGAAAACUUGAUUAAAGAAUACUGAACAGGAUUUUUUUUUACCAUAAUAGCAAUCACUAACAUUUAUUGAAUGCUUACUUUGUGCCAGUCACUAUGCUAAGAGUUUUACAUACAUUAUCUUAUUUAAUCUUAACAACCAGAAAAAACACUUGGAAGAAUAUUCCAGAAGUAUUUCCUUGUAUUACUUCACAGCUUAUAAGCACCAGUGCAAGAACUUCUGUUAAGAAUGUAAUAGUGAGAAAAAUACCAUUUUCUGUUGUUAAACAUCCUGUGGCUUUGGGAAAGAAGAUUAUGAAAUUUAUCCUUAAAAUUAAACAUUGAACUUAAUAAUGUUUUCUAUGCUCUUCUAACCAUAGUACUCACAGAUAAUCAGUGAAAACCAUUGUAUUCUUUUAUGACUAGGAAACAACCUUUAGGGCUUCAGAGAGAUGCCUGGGUUUGAACACAGGUUCUAUAGUGUUCAAACACAGGCCACUAUAGUGUUCAACUUUGGUGAGCUGUUAAGGUUCUGAAAUUGAGUUUAUCUGUAAAAUUAGUAUAGUGGUACAUUUCUCACAGAGUUAGUUGUGACUAUUAAGUGAUAGAGUACCAAGCGUAUAUGAAGUCCUAGCAUAUAGUGUACAUUCACUGAAACUUGGUUUUCUUUCUUUUUCCUUUUCUUCUUUUUCUGUUAGUAAUAACCAUGUUUUAGAAUCUUCAUGAAAUUAUAUACACAUUAAAUUUUUAAAUUGUUUUCCUUUUAAAAAGUAAUCUAUUUCUCCUAAAAUUAUUUUAAAACUUUCCUUAAAUUCUGAUUUGAGGGCUUGAUUUACUUCAUCUUUUUGCUUUUCUGCAUUUUGCUAAUGAAAUGGGCACUUGUAAAUGUUGUUGAACUCAGAUAUAAAUUUAAGUAGCCACACUUCAUUAAUGUAAACACUCUACUGAAAGCUUACAGCUAUGCUUUUGGUUCUUAUUAAGUGAAAGAAUAUUAAAUAGAGUUCCUUUUUUUGUCUUUAUUUCCCCACACUAAACAGGCGAUAGUGCAAAGAAGUUAAGUGCCUGGACUCUAGGGCAAAUCUGUUUGGAAUCAAAUCCCUACUUUACCACUUAACUAUGUGACACCUGCACCUCAAUUUACACAUUAGUAAAAUGGGAGUAAUAAUUGUGCCCACCUUAGGGCAUAUAUCUAUAUCUAUCUAUAUAUAACUGUUAAAAAUGCCUUGCACAUACUGAGUGCUGUAACAGUGUUAACUGUUAAUAGUGAUUAUAUGUAUUAUCUGUAGAUGAAUAUGUAUUAUCUGUAUAUCAGUUGUAUUAUAGAAAAAAUUGUUACUACUGUUCUGGUAAGAGUCUAAUUUGGUAAUUUUUCAUUUGGUAGAAUAAAAACAAAUUCAGUUUAAUUUACGGUUCCAUGAAAAGUAUGUAGCAUUUGUAUUUGGCAAAUUCUUCACUUUUUUUUUUACUUCUUAAUCGUAUUAUUGGAGAUAGUGAAAAAUCCCUGUUGUUUCUGGUGAAGAAGCUAAGACAUAAGUAAAUUUAGGAGCUUUUAAAGCAUAGCAGUUUUUAAAGUUAGUAGAAAGUUAGUAUUCAGAGUAUUCCAUGUGCUAUUAUGUUGAGCCAUGCAUCUCUACUCCUUAUUAAAUAUUCAAACAACAAACCUAUUAGUUGGCAAACUAAAUGUUAAAGGGAUAUUAUUCUGUUCUUCAAGACUUUCAUUGGCUUAUGUCUCCUUUGGAUGUGUUCUCUUAAGAUUGAUUCACUUAGCCUUAAAUUAAUUCAAAGAUUGUAUGCAAAAAAAUUGUCUUUGCUUUGUCUUUGGACUAAUUAAAGCUAAGUGGUGGUGGCCCAGCUAUCCUUUAGGACAUUUGUGGGUGGAGUAUCUUUUUUAGUAAUCAGCUGCCUUCCCUUCCCGCCUCAUUUGAUGAAAUGGAAAAUUUCUCUACAAUUUCUCAUAGUAUCAGUAACCAUUGUAGUAAUACUGUGCUUUUCUGAACCAUCCAAGAAACUUAACCGUCAUUCUUAAUAUUAGUUUCUAUGAAAAAUGAUUCCAAGUUUCAAAGAAUAAAUUGAAAAGCACUAGGAUUAUAAGAACAGUUUUCUGGGUUUUUUUUAGAAAGAUACAUUAGAGAAACAUUUAAAAUAUUUGUUUUUUCUUGUUUAAAAUACUGCACAUUGUCUCUAAUUAAUCAAUUUAAGAAAGUUAUGAACAGUUUGUUUGGAAUCCAGAAAAUAAUAAAUGAUGAUGACUAGAAAACUCAAAAGCAUCCCUUUAAGAGAGAAUUGUAAAUGUUACUUAGACAAGUAAUAGAAAAGUGUCAUUUAGGAGUAGUAAAUAAUUUACUAUGAAUUUUCUCUUUAAAACUAACAAAACUUAAAACUUAGUAUUUUAGUCUAAUAAUUUGGAAAUCUUUAUAGGUGCUUUCACAUCAGUGCCACUUUUAUUAUAGAAAACUAAACAAGGAUAAAUUUAUAUAUGUUGAAAAUAGCAGUAUUGACUCAAACACAAAAUAUCCUGUUUUCCAUCCUUGUGAAAUAAUGUUUAAAUUGUAAACAAAUUUGGAAAAAUGUUUUUCUCUAUCUUUUUUUAUAUUUUUUAUUCUUAUUUUUUUUUAGUGUUUUCAUGUAUACACUCUACCGAUUAUUAGGGGCAUAGACUCAGGGAACCUAGUCACCUAAUAACCGAAUUUGAAAACUCUCAAAUUAUUUUGUAAAUCCUGUUGUGAUUAAACCACUUUAAGUUUCUCCUAAAAAAAAAGUCAAGUUAUGUUUAAAAUAAUCUUUUUUAAAGUUAUGGCUUCUGAAAAGGAUUAUUUCUUGAAAGGAGAUUGUGAACAUUUUAGAAUAUUAUUAAGGCUACCAUCAGCUGCUAAGGGACAUCAAAUCCUGACUCAAGGAAAUAGUAAUUUUUCAUAAGUAGGAAUUUUUCUAAAGUAGAGAAAAGAUGUACAUUGUUGUCUGUUACAUAUGCAAUUAGGUAAAAAAAGUCCUAGGACUUAAGAAGCAAUCUCAGGUUUUUCAUAGCGGUGUAGAGAAGUAUAAAUAUUUAUUCAGUUGCUUGUUCUACACAUGUUAACUACAUGAUAUGAGCCAUGUAUGCAGCAAUAAAUAAGACAGGUAGGUAUAUGAUAUCAUAUGGUAUUUGUCUUUCUCUUUCUGACUUACUUCACUCGGUAUGAGAGACUGUAGUUCCAUUCAUGUUGCUGCAAAUGAAAAGACUUAGAGAAAAGACUUGUGGUUGCCAAGGGGGAGGGGGAGGGAGUAGGAUGGAUUGGGAGCUUGGGGUUAAUAGAUGCAGACUAUUGCCUUGGGAAUGGAUUAGCAAUGAGAUCCUGUUGUGUAGCACUGGGAGCUAUGUCUAGUCACAUGAUGGAGCAUGAUAAUGUGAGAAAAAAGAAUGUAUACGUGUAUGUGUAACUGAGUCACCAUGCUGUACAGUAGAAAAAAAAA